rnacentral:rRNA from 1 species
GCGGAGUGAGCGGCAGAGCUCAAAUUUGAAAGCUGGCCCCCUCGGGGUCCGCAUUGUAAUUUGCAGAGGAUGCUUCGGGAGCGGUCCCCAUCUAAGUGCCCUGGAACGGGCCGUCAUAGAGGGUGAGAAUCCCGUAUGGGAUGGGGUGCCCGCGCCCGUGUGAAGCUCCUUCGACGAGUCGAGUUGUUUGGGAAUGCAGCUCUAAUUGGGUGGUAAAUUUCAUCUAAAGCUAAAUAUUGGCCGGAGACCGAUAGCGCACAAGUAGAGUGAUCGAAAGAUGAAAAGCACUUUGAAAAGAGAGUUAAACAGCACGUGAAAUUGUUGAAAGGGAAGCGCUUGCGAUCAGACUCGCCCACGGGGUUCAGCCGGCAUUCGUGCCGGUGUACUUCCCCGCGGGCGGGCCAGCGUCGGUUUGGGCGGUCGGUCAAAGGCCCCUGGAAUGUAACGCCUCUCGGGGCGUCUUAUAGCCAGGGGUGCCAUGCGACCUGCCCGGACCGAGGAACGCGCUUCGGCUCGGACGCUGGCAUAAUGGUCGUAAGCGACCCGUCUUGAAACACGGACCA